rnacentral:rRNA from 1 species
GGUAAGUACGUGCCAGCAGCCGGGGGAAUGCGUGGGGGGACAGCGGUGUCCGGAAGCAUUUGGCGUAAAGCGCGUGUAGGCUGCUGAGCAAGUCCGCUCUGAAAGCCCGAGGCGCAACCUCGGGAGGCGAGUGGUGACUGCUUAGCUCGAGUCCGGAAGAGGAGUGUGGAAUUCCUGGUGUAGCGGUGAAAUGCGCAGAUAUCAGGAGGAACACCAAUGGCGAAGGCAGCACUCUGGGACGUGACUGACGCUGAGACGCGAAAGCGUGGGGAGCAAACAGGAUUAGAUACCCUAGUAGUC